AUGAUACGGGUCCAUGAUGCGCUUGCUAACCUGUUGCUCGUCCUGCCCAAGAAUAUCUUCCCUUUCCUGGUGCAAGAUUUCGCUCAGAUUGUGGAUGAAUUAGGCCCGAAAAGAGGUGCAUCUUUAUCAGCGAGGUUUGAAAAGACACUGCAUGAUUUGCGAAGAAGCAUAAGGAGUGGUCUUCAGGUGCUCAAUGUCAAGAUCUUUGAUUAUACAUCUGAAGUAGUCCCACAAGGUGGUGGUAUCCAUGAGAUCACCAAAUACUUGUUGAAAUACAUCCUGUCACUGCUGGACAAUGGCAGAUCCCUCAAAAUCAUACUUGUCGGCGAUGAACAGGAUGGCAUGGUUGAAAUGGAGACGCUGCAAGAUGCUGUUGCUACCUUGAUCUCUCACUUGGAAAUUAUGCUUGAGAAAGAAUCUCAUCGCUAUCAAGAUGCAGGGUUAAAACAAAUGUUCAUGCUGAAUAACGUGAACUUUGUGCUGCAUCAAGUAGAAGGCUCAGAGAUAAAGUAUCUUCUAGGAGAGGAUUGGGUUCUGAAGCACCGAAACCAACUGAAGGACCACAUCUCAUCGUUCAUCAACAUUUCUUGGGAAUCUGUCAUGUAUUGCUUCCAUGUAAAGACCAACAAAAUCUCGAUCUUUUCUAGCCUACCCACACUGCAAAUAUUUAACCUGGAAUUUGAGAAAACUUACUGGACUCAGAAGACAUGGAAAGUUGAAAAUCCUCUGCUCCGGUCCAAUAUGCGUAAAUCAGUAUCAGAGAAGCUUGUUCAGGCUUACAGUACAUACCUUGAGAAUCACAAAAACAAAGCUCCAAAGCUUAUGAAGUACACCCCUGAAGAUCUUGAAGAGCUGCUGUCAGAUCUGUUUGAAGGAUAA
rnacentral:rRNA from 1 species